CUGGCUCAGGAUGAACGCUAGCUACAGGCUAACACAUGCAAGUCGAGGGGCAGCAUUGGAGUAGCAAUACUCAGAUGGCGACCGGCGCACGGGUGAGUAACACGUAUCCAACCUGCCGCUUACUCGGGGAUAGCCUUUCGAAAGAAAGAUUAAUACCCGAUGGUAUAAAGAGUUCGCAUGUUCUCUUUAUUAAAGAAUUUCGGUAAGCGAUGGGGAUGCGUUCCAUUAGAUAGUUGGCGGGGUAACGGCCCACCAAGUCUACGAUGGAUAGGGGUUCUGAGAGGAAGGUCCCCCACAUUGGAACUGAGACACGGUCCAAACUCCUACGGGAGGCAGCAGUGAGGAAUAUUGGUCAAUGGACGAGAGUCUGAACCAGCCAAGUAGGCGUGAAGGAUGACUGCCCUAUGGGUUGUAAACUUCUUUUAUAAGGGAAUAAAGUGAGGGACGUGUCCCUUUUUGUAUGUACCUUAUGAAUAAGGAUCGGCUAACUCCGUGCCAGCAGCCGC
rnacentral:rRNA from 1 species